UACAGAGGGUGCGAGCGUUGUCCGGAAUUACUGGGCGUAAAGGGCGCGUAGGCGGCCCCGUGCGCGUGCCGUGAAAGCCCGGGGCUCAACCCCGGGUCGGCGGUGCGGACGGCGGGGCUGGAGCACAUCAGAGGCAGGCGGAAUUCCGGGUGUAGCGGUGGAAUGCGUAGAGAUCCGGAAGAACACCGGUGGCGAAGGCGGCCUGCUGGGGUGUGGCUGACGCUCAGACACGACAGCACGGGGAGCGAACGGG
rnacentral:rRNA from 1 species